rnacentral:lncRNA from 1 species
CUGCCAUUCCCCUGCCCCAGCCUUGUCCUGCUGCUGACUCCAACUUCCCUGUUCUCUCCACAGCUAGCACCAAAAUGGCAGCAACGAUGACAGAAUCCGGGGGAGUGAAGGUCGUCACAGAGGUCAUCCCACAGACUGACCCCCGGGCUGCACAGCUGGACUCAAUGGCACCACAUCCCAGUUCAGCCCAGGUCAAAGGCUUCAGGAAGGCACAGCCCAAGGCACUGGGGGCCAUACAGAUCAUAUCUGGUUUCACGCAGAUCUCCUUUGGGAUUGCCUUGAUGAUAACUGAAUCCUCAGCCCCAGCCCUCACCGUAGCCAGCGGAGUCUACUUCUGGAUCGGCUUGCUGCUCGUGUCCUCAGGAUCCAUGCUGGUGGAGACUGAGAGAAGAGAAAGCGUCCGGCUGGUGAAAGUCUGCUACAUUAUCAGCGGCCUGGUCAUCCUGGCCACCCUGACAGCCAUGAUCAUUCACAGCGUGGAGAUCGGCCAAGACAUCCCGUGGUGCAGCAUGCAUGAGGACGGCAAAAUGAUCCCACUGAACUGCUCCCAAAAUGUCUACAUUCUGAGUCACGGGAUUAACUCAACAUUCAUCCUGCUUUGCUUCUUGGAGCUGUGCACGGCUAUCGCCGCCCUGGUGUAUGGAUACAAGGCCUUGAAACAGCAGGACUACACGCAGAUGGUGCUGUGAUGGAGCAGAGGCCAGCUCUGCUCCUCCCACCCCCGAGGUGUACUGAGAACACGAUGGAGAUUUCCCGCACUGGAGCCACAGCGACAUGGACCCUUGGCCACUCCUUCACUUUCCCAGGCAGGACGGCAGAAGGAGCAACUCUGAGCCUCACCUCAUGCAGCCCACCCUACCCCCACAACUCUUCUGUGUCUAGGGGAUAGGGGCAAAUGCUGAGCCAGACACCACUAUUCCUGAGUCCCCCAACUGAGAGAUGAGAGCAGCUUUAAUGCUCAAAGUAUCCCCUGACUUUCCCCGCAAACUCUUCUGUUUGUAACCUACUGAAGCCCAUGACCUGUCUCAGGACCCUCCUCACAGAAUCCCCUCAUGGACUCUUACCCCUGAACUUCCUCCCCUCCCCCAAAACUAGAAGGCAGGAGUUAACUCUUUCUGCACCCCAAAACCCUCCCCUGAUUCCCAAACACUGCAGCCUGUAUAAGGACGGUGAAAACAAAUUGACCCACACACGCCUUCCCUGGCCCGUCAAACUCACCAGUCAGUAAAAGGGGAGGAGCCGGAAUGAGACUGAAACCAGCUCCCCCCCACUCAAAUUCUCCUGUGAUCCCUGGAACUCUCUGCAACCGGAGCACAAGACAGCAAGCUCCAAAGCCAUCCUUCUGUCCUGCUCACACCUCUCCCCGAGUUCCACAAACCCUCCCAUCUGCACAGGCAAACAAGACGGAUGGGGAAGACAGUGGGAGUCAACAGGAUUAUAGAAUAGAAGUUGAUCCAUCCCUUUUUCUUGGUCUCCUCACACAACUUAACUGCACCAAGGCAGAGAGUGGGGGGUCUGUUUAAUAUUUUUUUAAUUUUUGUUGCAGUAAAGGAGUGCAGUAAGCAAUAGGCUGUGGAUAGAAGGUAACAGAUUCUGUAGCCAGAUAUAAACACAUCUAUUACGUGAUGGAACAUACAGGGCAGCAUGCGAUAUAAGAAAAAACCCACUAGAGAUAUGAUAUCCUGAUUGUCCCAGAACAGAGCAGCGAUGCCAUGAUCUCCAUGUAAAUGCAACAUUCAGCCCUCAGUAACUCCUGAUGUCUUGGGCUUCCACCAAGAACUUGGCCCCUCUGUGUCCUGAAAAACUCACUUGUUCUCCUUUCAUGUUGUAUUAUCCCAUCCAGAUCACAUGUUUUAUGGACCAGCCCUUAGCACUUGACUUCUUUGCUGAUUUCCAGGUCCUUAGAAUGAUUUCUUCAGCCACUGCUGAUGCUCUCAAACAACAUAUUUCUGGGGGAAAGUCAAAUCCUUAGCAGCCUUCAGGACUUGCAGAAUAAGGAGCUUAGGACCACCAGGGUUACUGCUGUUUAGAAUCGUAACUUUUUUCAAAUCUUCUUUGGUUUUAUGGCAGUGGUCAUCCAGCUCUUUCAUUCUGAGGAUCAUGUCAUAAAAGAAAGAUCUCACUGAUCUCCCUUCCCUUUCAGUAUCCCAAUUGUCUUCCGGUACCCCACCGCUUCCAUUGCUUGGAUCUUAAAAUGUCUCAUUCUGUAACCCACCGGGAAGGAUUCAGGGUGCCACAACGGGAAAGCCACACCUCUAGGACAAUAUAAAUGUAACAGAUUUCCUUGUUCCCUUCACAGCUCCAGCAAGAAUCCACCUCUCAUGUGUGUUGCCAGGUUCAUUCUACUGCAUACCGUGCAAAUGCUAAAGAUGCAUUUUUAUUUUAUUUUAUUUUUUUGCUAUAUUAACCUGAGCUUACAGUAUUAUUAUAACAAAUGUUCCCGCAGAAUGUUAUGUCUAGCUACAUCCCUAUCUGUUCAUUCAAAACCAAGCUUACCUCUCAAAUUUGAGAAGUGUUCCUUACCAGUCUGGAUUCUGAGUGGUACUGACUAGAGCUAGUCAGGAAUUUUUCAGCAAAAAAAAAAUUUUUUUUGGUGCGGAAAUGCCAAUUCACUGAAACCAAAACGGUUUGUGAGAAAAGGGUGGUUUUGAGGAACUUCUUGUUUUGAAAAAUUUUGGGACAAAAGAGUUAGAAUUUUAUUUUUCAAACAAAAAAAAAUCUAUUUUUUCAGUGCAAAACUACUUUUCAUUUAUAAAUUUAAGCUAAUAAUAGCAAAAAGAAGUUAAUUUAAAAGGGUAAAAAUCAAAAUGAAAUGUUUUGAUCGACUCAAAUGAAAAAUAAUUAAAAUUUUUCAGUUUGCAAAAUGUUUUGAGAUUUUGACAUUUCAUCCCAAUUUGGGCCAAGAAAAAUUUCAAAAUUUCAAAAAUUUUAUCCAGAUGGGAACCGUUUUCUACCCAGUUUUACUACUGAGUACUCAGAGUUCUAGUUCACUGCAUUUGGCAUUGCAGAUAUUCAGCGCUGCUUAAGGUCAGCUGUUAGAUAACGACAGCAGAAAGUGUUAUAUAGACUGGAUCAGAAUACCAGAAUUUGUCCCCUGGAUCUUUCCACAGGAAAAAUUCAGUUUUUAAAUUUUCUGAUUGGAAAACGUUGGUUUUCUGUGGGGCAUUUCAAAACUAAAGCAAAAAAACAAACAAAAAACCACUUGUUUUGUUUUGAAAUGCCACUUUGAAACAAAACAAGAGAUUUAUUGUUGCAUUUCAAAAUGUAAUUUGAAAUUAAAAAUUUAAAUGUAUUUCAAUUUAUACUCUUUCAUUUCAGCUUUUGAAAACUGAAGACAUUGGGAUGGUUACCCCCCCCAUUCCCUUUUUUCACUUUUUCCAGUGAAGAAAAAUGAGGAACAAGUUGAGAAAAGUAAAAAUAAAAUGAAACACUUGUUCA